rnacentral:other from 1 species
ACGCCUCUGCGGUGUUUGUGAUGGGUUAUGUGAUUUUGGUGAACCUACACUAACUCGCUUUGGGAGCCUUAAUUUUAAUUCGGGUGGCGCACACAAGCCCGUCCGCAUCGCUCGUCGGUGCGACUGUAGCGGGAUCUGUAACCCAUCCGAGAGGCACCCAGUUUUUUAGCGGGUUCCCGAAGGAUGACCCACACGGCACAGGUGGAGGCGUU